rnacentral:rRNA from 1 species
AUUGAACGCUGGCGGCAGGCCUAACACAUGCAAGUCGAACGGCAGCACAGAAGAGCUUGCUCUUUGGGUGGCGAGUGGCGGACGGGUGAGUAAUGUCUGGGAAACUGCCCGAUGGAGGGGGAUAACUACUGGAAACGGUAGCUAAUACCGCAUAACGUCGCGAGACCAAAGUGGGGGACCUUCGGGCCUCACACCAUCGGAUGUGCCCAGAUGGGAUUAGCUAGUAGGUGGGGUAAUGGCUCACCUAGGCGACGAUCCCUAGCUGGUCUGAGAGGAUGACCAGCCACACUGGAACUGAGACACGGUCCAGACUCCUACGGGAGGCAGCAGUGGGGAAUAUUGCACAAUGGGCGCAAGCCUGAUGCAGCCAUGCCGCGUGUAUGAAGAAGGCCUUCGGGUUGUAAAGUACUUUCAGCGGGGAGGAAGGCGGUGAGGUUAAUAACCUUGCCGAUUGACGUUACCCGCAGAAGAAGCACCGGCUAACUCCGUGCCAGCCGCCGCGGUAACAC